AGUCUCCUAAUAAAACCUAACAAGUCUCAUAUACCAUACCACAAAGAACAGUAGAUGUGUCCUAUAGACAAUAACUAGUCGCAUAUACCAUACCACAUUGAACAGAGGAUGUCUCCUUAUAGACAAUUACUAGUCUCAUGCAUCAUACCACAUUUAUCUAUACUAAUAUAGAUACUAAGAGUAGAAAAGGAAAUGUUCUACUUGAAUGGAACAUUUAUCCUGCCAUACUGGAUACUUGAUAUUUUAUGCAAAACUGUAUAAUAACUAUUCUAAUUUUAUUAAGAAACUAAUAUACUAAGACAC
rnacentral:lncRNA from 1 species